rnacentral:rRNA from 1 species
GUUCGGAAUUACUGGGCGUAAAGCGUACGUAGGCGGAUUAGUAAGUUAGAGGUGAAAUCCCAGGGCUCAACCCUGGAACUGCCUUUUAAUACUGCUAGUCUAGAGUUCGAGAGAGGUGAGUGGAAUUCCAAGUGUAGAGGUGAAAUUCGUAGAUAUUUGGAGGAACACCAGUGGCGAAGGCGGCUCACUGGCUCGAUACUGACGCUGAGGUACGAAAGUGUGGGGAGCAAACAGGAUUAGAUACCCUGGUAGUCCACACCGUAAACGAUGAAUGCCAGACGUCAGCAAGCAUGCUUGUUGGUGUCACACCUAACGGAUUAAGCAUUCCGCCUGGGGAGUACGGUCGCAAGAUUAAAACUCAAAUGAAUUGACGGGGACCCGCACAAGUAGUGGAGCAUGUGGUUUAAUUCGAAGAUACGCGCAGAACCUUACCAACACUUGACAUGUUCGUCGCGACUCUAAGAGAUUAGAGUUUUCGGUUCGGCCGGACGAAACACAGGUGCUGCAUGGCU